rnacentral:rRNA from 1 species
AGAUUGAACGCUGGCGGCAUGCCUUACACAUGCAAGUCGAACGGCAGCACGGGAGCAAUCCUGGUGGCGAGUGGCGAACGGGUGAGUAAUAUAUCGGAACGUGCCCAGUCGUGGGGGAUAACGCAGCGAAAGCUGUGCUAAUACCGCAUACGAUCUAUGGAUGAAAGCGGGGGAUCGCAAGACCUCGCGCGAUUGGAGCGGCCGAUAUCAGAUUAGCUAGUUGGUGGGGUAAAAGCCUACCAAGGCGACGAUCUGUAGCUGGUCUGAGAGGACGACCAGCCACACUGGAACUGAGACACGGUCCAGACUCCGUACGGGAGGCAGCGAGGUAGGGGAAUAGUUGCA